rnacentral:rRNA from 1 species
GACGAACGCUGGCGGCGUGCCUAAUACAUGCAAGUAGAACGCUGAAGAGAGGAGCUUGCUCUUCUUGGAUGAGUUGCGAACGGGUGAGUAACGCGUAGGUAACCUGCCUUGUAGCGGGGGAUAACUAUUGGAAACGAUAGCUAAUACCGCAUAACAAUGGAUGACACAUGUCAUUUAUUUGAAAGGGGCAAUUGCUCCACUACAAGAUGGACCUGCGUUGUAUUAGCUAGUAGGUGAGGUAAUGGCUCACCUAGGCGACGAUGCGUAGCCGACCUGAGAGGGGGAUCGGCCACACUGGAACUGAGACACGGUCCAGACUCCUACGGGAGGCAGCAGUAGGGAAUCUUCCGCAAUGGGAGAAAGCCUGACGGAGCAACGCCGAGUGAGUGAUGAAGGUCUUCGGAUCGUAAAACUCUGUUAUGAGGGAAGAACAAAUGUGUAAGUAAAUAUGCACGUCUUGACGGUACCUAAUCAGAAAGCCACGGCUAACUAAGUG